GAUCCUGGCUCAGGAUGAACGCUAGCGGCAGGCUUAAUACAUGCAAGUCAAGGGGGUAGCAAUACAACCGGCGCACGGGUGAGUAACGCGUACACAACAUACCAUAUACUGGAGUAUAGCUUUGGGAAACUGAAGGUAAUCCUCCAUAACAUUGCGAGAGGGCAUCUGAUUGCAAUUAAAGUUUCGGCGGUAUAUGAUUGGUGUGCGUUUGAUUAGCUAGUUGGUAGGGUAACGGCCUACCAAGGCGACGAUCAAUAGCUGGCGUGAGAGCGCGACCAGCCACACUGGAACUGAGACACGGUCCAGACUCCUACGGGAGGCAGCAGUAGGGAAUAUUGGACAAUGGAGGAAACUCUGAUCCAGCCAUGCCGCGUGAUAGAUGAAGGCCCUCUGGGUUGUAAAUAUCUUUUAUCUGGGAAGAAACACUCCUAUUCUUAGGAACUUGACGGUACCAGAGGAAUAAGCACCGGCUAACUCCGUG
rnacentral:rRNA from 1 species